GGACGAAACACAGGUSCUGCAUGGCUGUCGUCAGCUCGUGUCGUGAGAUGUUGGGUUAAGUCCCGCAACGAGCGCAACCCUCACUUUUAGUUGCCAUCAUUUAGUUGGGCACUCUGAAAGAACUGCCAGUGAUAAGCUGGAGGAAGGUNGGGAUGACGUCAAGUCCUCAUGGCCCUUACGUGUUGGGCUACACACGUGCUACAAUGGCAUUUACAAUAGGAAGCAAAACGGCGACGUUAAGCAAAUCCUAAAAAAAUGCCUCAGUUCGGAUUGUACUCUGCAACUCGAGUACAUGAAGCUGGAAUUACUAGUAAUCGCGGAUCAGCGCGCCCGGUGAAUACGUUCCCGGG
rnacentral:rRNA from 1 species